rnacentral:rRNA from 1 species
CCUACGGGGGGCAGCAGUGAGGAAUAUUGGUCAAUGGACGAGAGUCUGAACCAGCCAAGUAGCGUGAAGGAUGACUGCCCUAUGGGUUGUAAACUUCUUUUAUAUGGGAAUAAAACGUUCCACGUGUGGGAUUUUGUAUGUACCAUAUGAAUAAGGAUCGGCUAACUCCGUGCCAGCAGCCGCGGUAAUACGGAGGAUCCGAGCGUUAUCCGGAUUUAUUGGGUUUAAAGGGAGCGUAGGUGGAUUGUUAAGUCAGUUGUGAAAGUUUGCGGCUCAACCGUAAAAUUGCAGUUGAAACUGGCAGUCUUGAGUACAGUAGAGGUGGGCGGAAUUCGUGGUGUAGCGGUGAAAUGCUUAGAUAUCACGAAGAACUCCGAUUGCGAAGGCAGUUCACUGGACUGCAACUGACACUGAGGUCGAAAGUGUGGGUAUCAAACAGGAUUAGAUACCCUUGUAGUC